rnacentral:lncRNA from 1 species
UUAAAUCAUCUCUCAUGCAUUCACAUCAUUAAAUGUGCAAUUACAUUCCAUCACCUUUCAAACUACCCACUACUUUGUAACUUGCAUCUACCUAGUGGCUAUUGUUCUUUGCUCUUCCAUCUUCCCAAAACCCUAACCUUUCCACUAUAAAUUGGGAAAAACCCCUCUCUAGAAGAAUCACUCUCAAAACCCUCAUUAAAC